UAAAAAAAAAAAAAAAAAAAAAAAAAAAAAAAAAAAAUCGGUAACUCACCAGGCCUCAAAGCAGGGGUCGACAUCGGUGAAGAUGCGGGUGGAGUAGGCAACGGAGCCGACAGCGGAGCUAACGGAACCGGCAUCGACCGUGGGGUCGGAGCGGACGACCUCGCCGCAGGGCCCGGUCUCGGCACAGAUGAAGACGCACCCGCUACAGCGCCCGACUUCGUCCUCCUAACAGAUGCUUCUUGGGGCGCGAUCGGCCUCGUCCGAGCUGAAGACGGCGCGGUCCCAACGCCCUGCCUCGACCGAGUCUCACCCGACGCCGGCGGACCAACCGGCC
rnacentral:lncRNA from 1 species